rnacentral:rRNA from 1 species
CCUACGGGUGGCUGCAGUGGGGAAUAUUGGACAAUGGGCGAAAGCCUGAUCCAGCCAUGCCGCGUGUGUGAAGAAGGCCUUCGGGUUGUAAAGCACUUUCAGUGGGGAAGAAAGCCUUGGGGCUAAUACCCUCGAGGAAGGACAUCACCCACAGAAGAAGCACCGGCUAACUCCGUGCCAGCAGCCGCGGUAAUACGGAGGGGGCGAGCGUUAAUCGGAAUUACUGGGCGUAAAGCGCGCGUAGGCGGUCUGAUAAGCCGGUUGUGAAAGCCCCGGGCUCAACCUGGGAACGGCAUCCGGAACUGUCAGGCUAGAGUGCAGGAGAGGAAGGUAGAAUUCCCGGUGUAGCGGUGAAAUGCGUAGAGAUCGGGAGGAAUACCAGUGGCGAAGGCGGCCUUCUGGACUGACACUGACGCUGAGGUGCGAAAGCGUGGGUAGCAAACAGGAUUAGAUACCCGUGUAGUC